rnacentral:rRNA from 1 species
UACAGAGGUCUCAAGCGUUGUUCGGAUUCAUUGGGCGUAAAGAGCUCGUAGGCGGCUUGUCGCGUCGACUGUGAAAACCCGCGGCUCAACUGUGGGCUUGCAGUCGAUACGGGCAGGCUGGAGUUCGGUAGGGGAGACUGGAAUUCCUGGUGUAGCGGUGAAAUGCGCAGAUAUCAGGAGGAACACCGGUGGCGAAGGCGGGUCUCUGGACAGUUCCUGACGCUGAGGCACGAAGGUCAGGGGAGCAAACGGG